CGCAGAUUUGUUUCUACUCUGUUAAAGAUAAUUUCUCGAAAGCGACCUGUGAUCCCCCUUGGUGAGGACACACCUCAAGUCGCCGCUGGUCCUUCCGGAAAAACAGCACAAAUUAAAACAGAAGUGGUGCAAAAAACUGCUGACACUGCAC